rnacentral:lncRNA from 10 species
GAGGGCGCCAUCUUGGCCCCGCGGAGCGUGACUGUCUCGGCUGGAAGCGUGGGAGGCCGGAGGAUCAGUGACUGGCUGUCGUGGACAUGCUCGCUACACCUCCCGGGGCUUCGCUUCGUUUACUAUUAACUGUCGUUACUCCUCUGUAUCUCGUCAGCAGGGGCUGCCUGCGGUGUUAGAAUUACACGCCCCUGCCACCUGGGCACGGAGCCCAGUCUCCCGGCCCCUCAGUCAGUCCUUGGGUGUAGCUGGAGCAUUUAAGAAAAAUGAAAUAUAGGAACUCAGUGCAUGGUUUCCUGGGCCUUUUUAUUGAAUAUCAUUUCUAACAUGUACACAGUAUAACCCAGGCUUAGUGGAUUCCGGGACAGAAAAUGUUGGGAGCUGGGAUAGUCAAGUAAACAAGAAGAAAUGGUAAAGAGAUGCCAAGUGGGAGAGGAAACUACGGAUGCAGAGAGAGGAUCUGGGAUAAAGAGAACAAAGAUGCGUGGUCGACUUUAUGGAAACUCGUUUCUUUUUAAUAAGUGAGGUUAGCCAAGUGAAGCAGUGGGAGUGGAGAAGGAACAAAGAAAUCUGUAAAGUAGUUGUGAUCAAUUAGUUGUAAACACCACUGCACUCAGACUCAGACCAGCUUGCAUUGAUUUUUAUGACCUAAUCUCAGAGGUUGUACAGCGUCACUUCCACUGUACUCUACUUGUUGAAGCAGCUACAAAAACACCACAUUUAAGUAAAGGGGACACUAAUUGGGAGGAGUGUUAGUCACAUUAUAAGAAGAGCAUGUGGAAUGAGAGAUUAAGUAGAGAUAUUAUUGCAGUCAUUUAAGGAAAAUAUAAUCUCCCAUAAUAUUAAUAUCUGUUUUCCUUUUGUAAAAAAAAAAUGUACCAUUUCAGGCUGAGCAUGUUGGCUCAUGCCUGUAAUCAUAACAUUUUGGGAGGCUGAGGCCAGUGGAUCACCUGAGGUCAGGAAUUCGAGACCAGCCUGGCCAACAUGGCGAAACCUCGUCUCUGUUAAAAAUACAAAAAUUAGCCGGGUGUGGUGGCAGUCACCUAUAAUCCCAGCUACUCGGAAGGCUGAGGCAGGAGAAUCGCUUGAACCCAGGGGCGGAGGUUGCAGGGAGCUGGUACCACCACUGCACUCCAGCCUGGAUGACAGAGUGAAACUCUGUCUCAAAAAAACAAAACAAAACAAAAACUAAAAUGUACCAUUUCAGAUUUUUUUUCUGAAAUUAAACCUGAAAAGGUCAAAAAACACAUAAAUUACAGUCCCUUUCAAUUACUUACCAGGUACAGGUAUUGUUUAAGUCUAUAGAAGUUCAGACUAUAGUAGUUCAAAAUACCUUAUACAGGGCAGCUUAUAAAAAGCAGAAGUUUAUUUCUCAUAGUUCUGAAGACUGGGAAGUCCGGGUUCAAGGUUCUGGCAGAUUCAGUGCCUGUCGAGGGACUGCUUUUUGGUUCACAGAUAGUGUCUUCUAGCUGUCUCCUCAUGUGGUAGAAGGGUGCCUUUUUUAUUAGUACCCCUAGUUUUAUUUAUUUUAUUUUAUUUUUUAGAGACAGGGGUUUUACUAUGUUGCCCAGGCUAGCCUCAAACUCCUGGGCUUGAGCGAUCCUCCCACCUCAGCCUCCCAAGUAGUUGGGACUACAGGCACAUGUUAAAACACCUGGUUCCUAUUAGUGGUUAUUUUAUAAAGGCACUAAUCUCAUCUGUGGCACCAGAGCCCUCAUGACCUAAUUACCUCCCAAAGAUCCCAUCCCCUAAUACCAUCAUAUUGGUGAUGAGGUUUCAAUACAUGAAUUUGGGGGGCUGGGGACACAAACAUUCAGACCACAGUAGUUGUUACAUUGAUAUGAGCUGGUAAGUGUUAACACCUGGCAGCAAUCAGAUACCCAGCCAUAGGUGAAGGCAGGUGAUUAGAAUUACCAGCCAACACAUUUAUGUGCUAGCUAAUUUUUAUUCAAAACUUUCUGAAGCUACAUUCAAAGCAGUUAAUGGGAAAUGGAGUAAAAAAAUAGGCAACCUCUCACUCUAGAUAAUGCUGUUAAAAGUAAUUUUUCCUCCCAGUCCUCUCCUGUAAUGAAUAGUAUAAGAAGGUAUCCUCCCAACGUAGAGGCACCUUGUGUUUCCAAAGUUUUAAUUAGUUGUCAUGAUAAUUUUAUGUGUCAACUUGACUGGGUUAAGGGAUGCCCAAAUAGGUAGUAAAACAUUAUUUCUGGGUGUAUCUGUGAAGGUGUUUCUGGAUAAAAUUAACAUUUGAAUGGGUAGACUGAGUAGAGCAGACUGUCCUCCCCCAUGUGGGUGGCCCUUAUCCAAAUGGUUGAAGGCUAAAAUAGAACAAAAAAGCUGAGUAGAGGGGAUUCCCUCUGCCUGACUACCUUCGAACUGGGGCGGUGGCUGUUUCCUGCCUUUGGACUUGAACUGAAACAUCAGCUCUUCCUGAGUCUUGAGCCUCCUGGCUUUUGAACUGAAACAACAGUAAUGGCUCUCCUGGUUCUCAGGCAUUUGGACUUUGACUAGAACUACACCAUCAGUUCUCCUGGGUCUCCAGCUUGCCAAUCUCCAGUUUGCCAACUGCGGAUCUUGGGACUUGUCAGCCUCCAUAACUCCAUGAACCAAUUUUUUGUAAUAAAUCUCUUUCUAUAUGUCUAUUUAUUCUGUUGGUUCUGUUUCUCUGGAGAACCCUAAUGCCAUACAUAAUUUUUAAAAAAAAAAAAACUCUUUCCUUCUCUGUUUUUCUCUUAUACUUUUGUGAGUGUAGUGAUAGGCCAAAUCACAUAAGUGCUAAUAAAUACUUUUCCAACAAGUACUUAACCUUGUUUAGGUGAUAAUCACUUGUCUUACCUUUGUGUUCAGAAGAAUUCCCAAUUCCAACUUUCUUAGGUAUUUAUUGAAAAGCAGGAGGAGGGUUCGGUGGAGGGAAGAAGAGAUGGAAUAGGAUUUAGGAUCAUUGCAAAGACCGAGGUAGUUGGGGAACAUAAAGGUUUUAUGUUGCCUUUCUUCUUCCUCCUUAUCAUUGAAGGUCUCCUCCUCCCUCCUGCUCCCCAUCACACACCCUCACAUGCCCCCAUGUGGCCUCUUACUAAACAGGGAGAGAAGAGAAGAGCUGGAGAAAUGGAAGUAUUUUGUAUUGGUAAGCCCAAGCAGCAGCAUGCUGAGAAAAGAGGAGUUUUUAUGGCCCCUGGCUACCCAUCUGGAAUAAACAGUUCUAUUUCCAAAUGGCUAUUUCUAUGCCAAUGUAAAAAGACAUAGAUAAUGCAGAUUAUUGUGUAGACAUUACUAAUAUUCAACAAUAUCUCGUUUUCCUCUUCUUCCAGGCAUACUGAAGACUAUAUUUCUCAGCUGCCUUUGCAGGUGGGCAGGGUCAUGUGACUAUUAUGACUAAUAAAAUGUGAGCAAAAGUGACGAGUCACUUGUGGGCUGAGGCAGUGAAAAGUUGUUUGUGAUUCUCAAAUCUCUCUUCUGUUCUGCCAUUGCAAUUGUGGAAGGAGCUUUAUGUUGAAACGGAAGAGCCAAAAGAUUGAAGUAGUCUAUGUCUCAGUCACCAUAUGGGAGGGCAAAUGCCCUGGAGAACCACCCAGACACACAACAAGUUUGUAUGAAUAAGAAAUAAAACUUUGUUGUAUAAGUAAUCAUGAUUUUUGGAGUUGCUUAUUAUCACAGCAUAACCCAGCCUAUCCUGGCAGACAUUGUUAUGAAAAUUGGGGCCUGCAUAUUUAAGAGAGCACAGAUUGUAUUUCUGGGGAAUGGAAGGUUUUAAGUCAGGACUUUAAAAAUAUUCUGUGUUUAUUAGUAGUGGCAAAAAGGAUAUCCUAGGUCCUUGUAAAAUGAAAGAUGGUAGCUGAUAAUGGAGCCUCUGGGCAUCUUUGAAUUAAACUAUUGGGCUUUUCAAGUCAAAAAAAGCAUAUUGGUCUCUGAUAAACUUAUGUUGUUGAAACAGCUUUUUGGAGAGUACUUAAGCUUGGGGUAGGCAAUAACCCAUUUCUCUUUUCUUGGAGACCUAGAUUGUCUCUUUAUACAGAUUUCUACUAACGCUCUCAAGAUAAAGAACCUAAUAUGGAGAGAUAAGGGAGUAUGAAUGUUGAUGUCAGUUGUACCUCUUGAAUAUUUUGUUGUUGUUGUUGUUGUUGUUAUUGGUUUUAAUGGUUAAAAUAUCUUUUCUCACGAUGAGGAAGAAAAUAGAGAAGACAAAAC